UUUAUCGGAGAGUUUGAUCCUGGCUCAGGACGAACGCUGGCGGCGUGCCUAAUACAUGCAAGUCGAGCGGACAGAUGGGAGCUUGCUCCCUGAUGUUAGCGGCGGACGGGUGAGU
rnacentral:rRNA from 1 species